GACGACCGCUGGCGGCGUGCUUAACACAUGCAAGUCGAACGGAAAGGCCCUGCUUUUGUGGGGUGCUCGAGUGGCGAACGGGUGAGUAACACGUGAGUAACCUGCCCUUGACUUUGGGAUAACUUCAGGAAACUGGGGCUAAUACCGGAUAGGAGCUCCUGCUGCAUGGUGGGGGUUGGAAAGUUUCGGCGGUUGGGGAUGGACUCGCGGCUUAUCAGCUUGUUGGUGGGGUAGUGGCUUACCAAGGCUUUGACGGGUAGCCGGCCUGAGAGGGUGACCGGCCACAUUGGGACUGAGAUACGGCCCAGACUCCUACGGGAGGCAGCAGUGGGGAAUAUUGCACAAUGGGCGGAAGCCUGAUGCAGCAACGCCGCGUGCGGGACGACGGCCUUCGGGUUGUAAACCGCUUUCGCCUGUGACGAAGCGUGAGUGACGGUAAUGGGUAAAGAAGCACCGGCUAACUACGUG
rnacentral:rRNA from 1 species